UUCUUACUGUGAAUACAUUUGGAUGUAUAUAUUUCAUGGUUAUUGAACAGUCUUCCUCCACACCAUUUUGCAUGUGUUCAUGGCAGUCAGGUAGAUACACUUCAGCCACUGUCUUGGCGUGGCCUCCUGUGGUUUAGGAAUGAGGGAGCUGGGACAAUUGAGGAGGCAAAUGGCAGCAUCAAAGUCAGAUGACUGACCCAAGGCCACCUCACAAUUCUAUAACAUUUGGCUUAGACACUGUAAGUUAGGACAAGAAGGAGCUUUGGAAAUGACCUUGCUGGGCAUCUCUUUAUGUUUGAAGACACUGAACUGAGAGGAGGCGGCUCUUGCCGUAGGCCCCUGAGGCCAUCACUGGCAAGUAGGACCUGGAACCCAGGAAUCCUGAUUCUUUGUCCAGAGCUUUUUCUGCUCUUUCACAAAACACCAUCUUGCCUUCUUAGAAGAGUGUGAAGAAUUUGGAGAGAUUUCACUGAUCGUGGUGACACAGAGGUUAGAAGGCCGUUGAGUUCAGCUUAUGGUGAUGGAAAGAGAGAUGUCAAUAAUUCCACAUUUUCUGGCUUGCAUUGUUUGAUGAAAGGUGACCCCAUUCCCUGAGUUAAAGAAUGCUGAAAGAAGACCAGGCUUGAGGAGGAAGGAUCAUGCAUUUGCUUUUGGACCUGUAGAGUUUGAGGACAUGUUCAGCACCAGGAGGAAUUUGCAUCCAAGUCCGUCUCCCUGCUAAGUGGUAUUUUGAGAAUUCCGAAGCUUAGUCUCAGAGAAGAGCUGACCUGAACUUGCCGAGGCUCCCACUGCAUUGUAGCUUUUCUCUGGAGAACAAAAACUGCCAUUGUCCAGCAGCUCAUUAGCAUGACUGUACAGCCUCCGGAGUUAGCAAGGUAAUUAGUUUUAGAGGUGAUGCAAAAAUAAUAUGACAAGAUCCAUGUCUUCAAUGAGCUACAAUCCUACUGGGACAUGAGACUGUGCUUAUAAUAUGAUGAAAGAAUAAGAAAAUUUUAAAGAUGAAAACACAGCAGCAACAGGUGCCAUUUUGGAAGCAAGAAGCAGAGAACAAGCUCUCACUGGGCAUUAAAUCUGCCGGCAUCUUGAUCUUGAACUUCUCAACCUCCAGAACUCUGAGAAAUAAAUUUCUAUUAUUUACAAAUUACCCAGUCUAAGGUGUUUUGUUAUAGCAGCUCAAACAAAUUAAGAUAUCUGUUUAUUGCUUUUGGUAUGUGUUUGUGUUUUAAUUUUCUUGGAAGGUAGAGCAGAGAGACAAAAAUCACCAAAUUUUGGUGACAUGGUUGAAGCUCUGGGUCAAACCAAUCUUUGAGUCCAGCCUCUGAACCUCGCAUUAAAGUCCUUUAUAGUUUAGAUUGGUUAGGAUUAGGUCUCUUGAUGUUUGUUUUCACCUUGAGGGUUCCUAACUGCUACGGGGAGUCAGUGUGAUUUAACUCUAAGUGAAGAAGAACAGUUUAGAGGGAUGAUCCUGCACAUCUGCAUGGUGAUUGAAUUUAUGUCUCCUAUAAUUGUAUAUACAAAAUGAAAGUUUGGACUCUACAGGACAGGAGACUUUCCCCAACUUCUACCCUCCUUUAUCUUUUGCUGAUUAGUAUUGCAACAGGCACCUAACCAAACUCUCUGGCUCUGGGCCUGUGCUGUGUCUUCUAAUCUUCACACAGCUGCCAGCAUUAUCUUUAAAAGACAGAUCUUAUUAUUUUACACACAAAACAGACACACAUCUCCAUGCAGCAUCUGCUUAAAGUGUUUCUGUGGUUCCUGAUUGCUGACUGGAUUUCACUCAACUUUUUAGCAUGGCCCACAUGGAGCUACCUCUGCCCCACCUUUUCAGUUUCAACUCUUAGGACCCUCUCCUACAAACAUUGGGGUUCACUGUACCCUGAACAUGUGAUAGUCUUGCGUGUCUCCAAGCCUUUGCAUCUGCUAUUCCCCAUGCAUGCAAGGUCUUGCUCUUACUUUCUGUACAGGAGAACUCCUCUUCACCUUUGAAAACCCUCAACUCAAAUACCAAUUGGUUAAGACAUAUUUCUUGAUGUCCCCUGACAGAACCACUAGGAUGUGUAUGACUUAUUAUAGGAAUUUGACAUUUCACAACUGUGGGCGCUAGUUAGUUGGUAAACAGCCUUUGGGAGGUUGUUGUGUUUAUCUUGAAGGCAGGAAGUUGAAAAGGGAAAAUGGAAAAGAAGAACAAAUUGGGACCUGAAUGGUGCCUAUGAGGAUGAACUGGAACCCGUGUUGGUCUGGAACCUUGGUUGGAAAUCCAAGCUUUCAACUUUAAUGAUGCGGAUGUUCUGCAAGAGAAGCUGGUGCACUUUUUCAUGCUUGAUAUGCACCUGGCCCAGGAGUCAGAGAAGCUGAAAAACGAUCCAGCAGGAGCUGGAGUCUGUGUGGGCCUUGUUGUUGCACCACCGUCCGCCUCCAGGCAAGACAACUG
rnacentral:lncRNA from 1 species